rnacentral:rRNA from 1 species
AGUUAACGUUGGCGGCGUGCCUAACACAUGCAAGUCGAACGCGUCCUAAGGGCAACUUUAGGAUGAGUGGCGAACGGGUGAGUAUCACGUGGGUAAUCUUCCUUCAAGUGGGGGAUAAGCUCUCGAAAGGGAGUCUAAUACCGCAUGACAUUCCGGGACACAAGUCCCGUAAUCAAAGCCGCAAGGCGCUUGAAGAUGAGCCUGCGUCCUAUUAGCUAGUUGGUGGGGUAACGGCCUACCAAGGCUUAGAUGGGUAGCCGGCCUGAGAGGGUGAACGGCCACACUGGGACUGAGACACGGCCCAGACUCCUACGGGAGGCAGCAGUGAGGAAUUUUGCGCAAUGGGGGAAACCCUGACGCAGCGACGCCGCGUGGAGGAUGAAGGCCUUCGGGUCGUAACUACCUGUCAGAGGUGAAGAUACCGCAAGGUUGACGGUAACCUCAGAGGAAGCCCGGCUAACUACGUAGCCAGCAGCCGCGGUAACAUACUCGUA